CGUUCAAACAUCGGUUCUCGUACGAUCAACGAAGUUAAGCAACGCUGAGCGUGGUCAGUGUCUAGAUGAGUAACCACUUGAGAAAAUCAGGUGCUGUAAG